rnacentral:rRNA from 1 species
CAGAACGAACGCUGGCGGCGCGUCUUAAGCAUGCAAGUCGAGCGGCAAGGGGCAGCAAUGCCCCCUAGAGCGGCGGACUGGUGAGUAACGCGUGGGUAACCUGCCCCCCGGCCGGGGAUAGCCGUUAGAAAUAGCGGGUAAUACCGGAUACGGUUGUUUCGCGAUGGCGAGGCAAAGAAAGGAGCUGCGGCUCCGCCGGAGGAUGGGCCCGCGUCCCAUUAGGCAGUUGGUGAGGUAAAGGCCCACCAAGCCCGAGAUGGGUAGCCGGCCUGAGAGGGUGAACGGCCACACUGGGACUGAGAUACGGCCCAGACUCCUACGGGAGGCAGCAGCUAAGAAUAUUCCGCAAUGGGCGAAAGCCUGACGGAGCGACGCCGCGUGUACGAGGAAGGCCGAAAGGUUGUAAAGUACUUUUCCUGCUGAAGAAUAAGCGCGGGAGGGAAUGCCCGCGUGAUGACG